UUGCUUUGUCAGUACAUAUACUAAAGUUGGAAUGAUGCAGAGAAGAGUAGCAUGGCCCCUGUGCAUGACACAUUCCCUAUUUGUUAAGUAUUCUU
rnacentral:snRNA from 1 species